CGAGCCGGGCGGACGGCCGCGUGGAGGCCCUUGUGGACCUCCCCGAGGAACGUCCGGGCUCCACAGGGCAGGGUGGUGGCUAACGGCCACCCGGGGUGACCCGCGGGACAGUGCCACAGAAAACAGACCGCCGGGGACCUCGGUCCCCGGUAAGGGUGAAACGGUGGUGUAAGAGACCACCAGCGCCUGAGGUGACUCAGGCGGCUAGGUAAACCCCACCCGGAGCAAGGUCAAAAGGAGACACCCCGGUGUCUCUGCGCGGACGUUCGAGGGCUGCCCGCCCGAGUCCGCGGGUAGACCGCACGAGGCCGGCGGCAACGCCGGCCCUAGAUGGAUGGCCGUCUCCCCGGCCGCCGCGAGGCAGCCGGGCGACAGAACCCGGCGUACAGCCCGACUCGUCUG
rnacentral:RNase_P_RNA from 1 species